AACGAACGCUGGCGGCAGGCCUAACACAUGCAAGUCGAGCGAGGACUUCGGUCCUAGCGGCGGACGGGUGAGUAACGCGUGGGAACGUGCCCUUUGCUACGGAAUAGCCCCGGGAAACUGGGAGUAAUACCGUAUGUGCCCGAGAGGGGAAAGAUUUAUCGGCAAAGGAUCGGCCCGCGUUGGAUUAGGUAGUUGGUGGGGUAAUGGCCUACCAAGCCGACGAUCCAUAGCUGGUUUGAGAGGAUGAUCAGCCACACUGGGACUGAGACACGGCCCAGACUCCUACGGGAGGCAGCAGUGGGGAAUCUUAGACAAUGGGGGAAACCCUGAUCUAGCCAUGCCGCGUGAGCGAUGAAGGCCUUAGGGUUGUAAAGCUCUUUCAGUGGGGAAGAUAGUGACGGUACCCACAGAAGAAGCCCCGGCUAACUCCGUGCCAGCCGCCGCCGUAAGAC
rnacentral:rRNA from 1 species